rnacentral:rRNA from 1 species
AAUCAACGCUGGCGGCGUGCCUAACACAUGCAAGUCGAACGAGAAAGGGGACUUCGGUCCCUGAGUACAGUGGCGCACGGGUGAGUAACACGUGACUUAUCUACCCUCGAGUGGGGAAUAACUUCGGGAAACCGAGGCUAAUACCGCAUAAUACCCACGGGUCAAAGGAGCAAUUCGCUUGAGGAGGAGGUCGCGGCCGAUUAGUUAGUUGGCGGGGUAAUGGCCCACCAAGACGGUGAUCGGCAUCCGGCCUGAGAGGGCGCACGGACACACUGGAACUGAAACACGGUCCAGACUCCUACGGGAGGCAGCAGUGGGGAAUUUUGCGCAAUGGGGGAAACCCUGACGCAGCAACGCCGCGUGGAGGAUGAAGUCUCUUGGGACGUAAACUCCUUUCGAUCGGGACGAUUAUGACGGUACCGGAAGAAGAAGCCCCGGCUAACUUCGUG